rnacentral:rRNA from 1 species
UACGGGGGGGGCAAGCGUUGUUCGGAAUUACUGGGCGUAAAGGGCUCGUAGGUGGCCAACUAAGUCAGACGUGAAAUCCCUCGGCUUAACCGAGGAACUGCGUCUGAUACUGGAUGGCUUGAGUUUGGGAGAGGAAUGCGGAAUUCCAGGUGUAGCGGUGAAAUGCGUAGAUAUCAGGAAGAACACCCGUGGCGAAGGCGGCUCUCUGGGACGGUACUGACGCUGAGACGCGAAAGCGUGGGGAGCGAACAGG